rnacentral:misc_RNA from 1 species
CUCCUAACAUAUAGGAAUUUUAAAAAGAAAGGAAACCCAGAAAUGCCCAAUUUCCCAAAAAUUGGGUAUUUCUGGGUUUAUUCUGAAUCUUUCUAUUCUGAAUUCAGUUAACGACGAGAUUUAGUAUCCUUUCUCGCACUUUCAUAACUCGUGAAAUGCCGAGUAGGCACGAAUUCCCCCAAUUUGCGACCUACCAUCGGAUUUGUUAUGUAAAUAGGUAUAUGUUCCUUUCCAUUAUGAAUCGCGAUUGUAUGGCCAACCAUUGCGGGUAGAAUGCUAGAUGCCCGGGACCACGUUACUAUUGUUUCUUUCUCCUCCUUCAUAUUGAUCUUUUCGAUUUUUGCCAAUAAAUGACGAGCUACAAAAGGAUUCGUUUUUUUUCGUGUCACAGCUGAUUACUCCUUUUUUCUUUUUAAAGAGUGGCAUCCUAUGUCCACUAUCUCGAUCGAGGUAUCGAGGUCAGAACCC